rnacentral:rRNA from 1 species
AGGGCACCACCAGGAGUGGAGCCUGCGGCUUAAUUUGACUCAACACGGGAAAUCUCCCCAGGCCCGGACACCGGAAGGAUUGACAGAUUGAGAGCUCUUUCUUGAUUCGGUGGGUGGGGGUGCAUGGCCGUUCUUAGUUGUUGGACCGAUUUGUCUGGUUAAUUCCGAUAACGAACGAGACUCUGGCCUACUAACUAGACGGUGGAUCCUUUCUGGUCCUUCGCUGCUUCUUAGAGGGACGGGCGGCGUUCACCCACACGAGAAUGAGCAAUAACCGGUCUGUGAUGCCCUUAGAUGCUCUCGGCUGCAGACACUCUACAUUCAUCCCCCAGCGUGUGUACCCGGUCCGGACCGACUGCCAAACUGAUUGAAUUCCCGACGUGUUUCGGAUAGGGGAUUUAAAACUAUUCCCCAUGAACUAGGAAUUCCCCGCAGGCGUCGCGUCCUUAGCUUGCGCCACAUCACCCCCCUGUACAUAUGAACAAUUCACCCGUCGUUCAACCGAUUGAAGGGAUUUAU